GGACCUCCAGACCUAUUUACUCGUCUCACCUCCUAUCUAUUCCUAACACCCUAGUCGUCUCUUCUCUGGCCUCCAACCGCUCCAACGCCGUCGUAUGGCUCUACACUCACGGCGUCCCUUUCUAUCCUUGCGCUAACAUCUUUGUCGACUCCCCGAUGUUUUUCCUACUCAACUACCAUUACCAACAACGAUCUCUGCGAAUGUCUUCACAAUCGUAGUGCUGAUUUCUGGAGAUGGGGGAGAGAAAAACCUUGAUGAAAGAAGAUCGUGGGAAUUCUUUUAAAGCUUGAAGUUUCUAUUUCUCGAAAGCUAUGGUGUGAGGAGAGAGACUGAUAGUUUAAAAACUGCUUCAGGUCAGACGCAACCUUGACCAAGGACCAUCUUGGAAGCACUGACAAAGGCGUUUCUUAUACUGCUUGAGGCUACUUCCUUGGAUUGGUUUUGUUUAAUAUUUCUUUAACCCUUUCUUGGUUGAUACUUAGAGCAGCCGAUUUCCUCACGGUUUGCGUGAUAUUGAAACUAUCCUCAACAAAUUAAUCAUAAUUCCCAAUCAUGUUUCAAAUCAUACCCAUUAAUUCUCUUUUCAAUUUCACAUCAUCAUUUGAUUCAUCUUACGUGGCUUAAUCAAAUUUCAUGAGUAGCCCACAUUAUCAUGUCUUCAAUCUUAUCUGCAUACUAGCCGAGGCAACCAUAUCGUUGCAAGUUUGUAUCCGAACCUCACUUUUACACUAUUCUUGAAUAUAAACAAUCAUCGGAAGGUAAUCACACAGACCUAGUCUACUGAGUUAUUCAUAUUUAUUAAUUAUUAUGUGUAAUUACGCUUAGUCCCUUCUGUAUAUUAUUAGUUGUAAUCACACACGCCUAGUCUAUUGACUUAUCUGUAUAUACUAAUUAUUGAGUUAUUUGUAUAUAUUAAUUAUUAUAUGUAAUCUCGUAAUUUUGGAGUUGUUACAUAUAUUAUAUGUGGAGUUUGCUUAAUUGGUUAUUUAUGUGAUCUUUGUACACGACUUGGAUUAUAUUUAAUUUCCUUGUUGAUAUAAGCUUAUAUGCAUUUUAGCUGUUUUGUUUAUAUAUAAUUUAAAUACUUGAGAAAGAGGUUUAGCAUAAUAGUCGUAUGUGAUUGAGACAGUAAUGUGCGCUACUGGUGUCUUAUACUAACCUUAUGUCGAUCGAUUAUGCUCAAAGCUAAUCCAUAGUGCAUUAUUUUGAUGAAAGUCAGAUUAAUCAUUUUGGGCAAUUAAUAUCAUAUUAGUAGAGGAUUUAGUGUUACUAGUAUUAUUUUGGGUGAGUAGUAUGUUUACCCUAAGAUAGAAAAGUAGCAAUAUUGUAUUGACCGAGUUAAGCCAUUAUAUUAUAUUUGGGAUCUUGUGCCAGUAUUGAGAUAGAGGUUAGUGACCUACAAUUGGUAUUGAUCAUGUUGAUAUUAUGAGAAAAGGUUUGAGAAUAAUUAUUAUAUUUUUGGUUUGAGGCUCAGCGUUAUAGGACUUAGUCCUUGACAUGUUGGUAAGGAGAUGAUAACCAUUAGUAGAGGAGCAAGAUACAAUCUUUAUUAUUUUCUUAAUAUAACCAUUAGUAGUGGGAUUUGGUCCAAAAGUGGCAUUGACUCAGAGAGUCUUUCUAGUAGCUAUUGAGAGUUUCAAGUUUUUAUACUUGUUGGUUUAUUCAUUCGAAUUACCCAUGUCCAAGGCUAGGUAUAGAACAAAGAGCGCAUAUGGCACCUAUUGGUUUGAGUACGUUUAGUAGAGGAAAAUAACAUAUUAAUAUAUUUGAGGUUCAUAUGAAGAGAAUAUUUAUAGUUUCCAUAGAGUACAGAGUUAGUUUUAUCUUUGGGAUCAUACUUGAAAUGUGGUUUAUACUACAUUGUUUACAUGAGCCUUUAUUAUAUUAUUCUAUAUUGGUAUGUUUUUAUUACAGGUGAUUACUCAGCUUUUUGCUGACGUGUGUGUUUAUUUGUUAUGUGUGUUUGUGGCCAUGUCUUUUUCUUAUGGUGGCCCUGCGACGAUCCUUUUGGAAUUUGUCCUCUAUGGUGAGCAGUCAAGAUUAAGAUUGACCGGAGCAGAUUCAUCUUGAAGGAUUGCAGUUACAAAUUGAAGGAGCUCAAGUGUUAUCGUUUAAUCUUUUAUAACAUUUUAAUAUAUGCUUUACGGUUGUAUAGUUGUAAAUAGAUCACCUAGUAAUCGAGUUGUAAUAGUUUGAGUUUUGUAAGCCUUAGCACUUGGCAAUGUGGUCAAGUGUGGCGGUGAUACCUCCGAUUUAGGUGUAAGCUUCCGCAUAUUUUUAUAAAGUCUUUUAUAUUCUUAUUUUGUUUCUAGUUAGUAAAUCGGGGGUGUUACAUUGUCUCCAAAACAACAGCCCUAACCCAAUUUAUGUAGUCAAGGUUAGAUUUAUGUAUAGUCUGGUUUGAGCUUCUCUUUAAAAAUGCGGGUACCAAGUUGUGG